UUCCGGUUGAUCCUGCCGGACCUGACUGCUAUCGGAUUGAUACUAAGCCAUGCGAGUCAUUGUAGCAAUACAAGGCAUACGGCUCAGUAACGCGUAGUCAACCUAACCUAUGGACGGGAAUAACCUCGGGAAACUGAGAAUAAUGCCCGAUAGAACAUUAUGCCUGGAAUGGUUUAUGUUCCAAAUGAUUUAUCGCCGUAGGAUGGGACUGCGGCCUAUCAGUUUGUUGGUGAGGUAAUGGCCCACCAAGACUAUUACAGGUACGGGCUCUGAGAGGAGUAGCCCGGAGAUGGGUACUGAGACACGGACCCAGGCCCUAUGGGGCGCAGCAGGCGAGAAAACUUUGCAAUGUGCGAAAGCACGACAAGGUUAAUCCGAGUGAUUUCUGCUAAAGAGAUCUUUUGUUAGUCCUAGAAACACUAACGAAUAAGGGGUGGGCAAGUUCUGGUGUCAGCCGCCGCGGUAAAACCAGCACCUCAAGUGGUCAGGAGGAUUAUUGGGCCUAAAGCAUCCGUAGCCGGCUCUGUAAGUUUUCGGUUAAAUCUAUAUGCUCAACGUAUAGGCUGCCGAAAAUACUGCACAGCUAGGGAAUGGGAGAGGUAGACGGUACUCGGUAGGAAGGGGUAAAAUCCUUUGAUCUAUCGAUGACCACCUGUGGCGAAGGCGGUCUACCAGAACAUGUUCGACGGUGAGGGAUGAAAGCUGGGGGAGCAAACCGGAUUAGAUACCCGGGUAGUCCUAGGUGUAAACGCUGUGGACUUGAUGUUGGGGGCGCUCCGAGCGCACUCAGUGUCGAAGCGAAGGUGAUAAGUCCACUGCCUGGGGAGUACGGUCGCAAGGCUGAAACUUAAAGGAAUUGGCGGGGGAGCACCGCAACCUGAGGAUUGUGCGGUUUAAUUGGAUUCAACGCCGG
rnacentral:rRNA from 1 species